ensembl:lncRNA
CUGCACUUUAGCCACAAUAACCCCAGGCAACGCUACAGGCUUGGGGCAGAGUGGCUGGAAGACUGUGUAGAGGAAGUGGACCUGGGCGUGUUGAUUGCCACUAGACUGAACAUGAGCCAGCAGUGUGCCCAGGUGUAAAGGGCAGGGAGAACAAUUACUGAAACGUGCUUCUACAAGGCAGAGCAGAGCACAAGAGGCUAGACAGAGCAUUUCAUUGUCUGAUUACAUCUAUUGAUGGGCUUACAGUGGAUCUGAUUUUAACAGCGAGGAGCAGCCUAUUGAUCCACACUCCAGUCCUUUGAUUUCAGAUGGACCAUUCUUGGGACUGGAGCCAGUGAACCUUGAAUCAGUCACCUCUCCUGGACUCCUUCUUCUGAAGAUUCUCUCCCAUGGAAUUUACCUGAGGAUUUUCCUGAACAGGCCAAAGUCUUUUCUCCUGAAGUCCAAGGCUGUAGUCCUGCUUUUUGCCUUCUCCCUCCUUGGUGGUUCCUGAACUCCACUAUUUCAUGUUCACUGCAUUCUAGGGUGCCUCUGACUUUCACAUACAUUACCCAUUCUUCCUUGUUUAUAUGUAGGAUGUCUAUCAGAUUGUCUCCCAUUUUUGACAUCUUAAUCACUCACAUCAGGAAUCAAUAUACUCCAGAAACCAACUGGACUGUUUGUCCACAGCUGUGUUGUCCCUCCAAAAUUAGCAAGUUGUGCUUAACCUCUAGGUCAUCCAAACUGAGUUUAAAAUGGGGCAGUAGUUUAAUUUUAAUGGAUAAAUAAUUUAGUCCAUCAGGGUAGAAAAGGUUAAGAACCAUUUUCUCAACUGUAACUGCAUUCACACCUGUGAUGUAAAUUUGUUGUGGUACUAAGUUUCAGAUUGCACCAGAGCAAUAGUAAUGAGAUAUGUGAUAUAAUCAUGUAGUUUUAAGCAUUUGAAUAAAGUACGCAAUUU